GACGAACGCUGGCGGCGUGCUUAACACAUGCAAGUCGAACGGUAAGGCCCUUCGGGUACGACGAGUGGCGAACGGGUGAGUAACACGUGGGUGAUCUGCCCUGCACUUCGGGAUAAGCCUGGGAAACUGGGUCUAAUACCGGAUAGGACCAUGGACUUCACGGUUUGUGGUGGAAAGCUUUUGCGGUGUGGGAUGGGCCCGCGGCCUAUCAGCUUGUUGGUGGGGUAAUGGCCUACCAAGGCGACGACGGGUAGCCGGCCUGAGAGGGUGUCCGGCCACACUGGGACUGAGAUACGGCCCAGACUCCUACGGGAGGCAGCAGUGGGGAAUAUUGCACAAUGGGCGCAAGCCUGAUGCAGCGACGCCGCGUGAGGGAUGACGGCCUUCGGUU
rnacentral:rRNA from 1 species